rnacentral:tRNA from 1 species
AUUAACUCAGUUGGUCAGAGCAUGGUGCUGGUAACACCAAAAUUGUGGGUUCAAUCCUCAUAU